rnacentral:rRNA from 1 species
AGAGUUUGAUCAUGGCUCAGGACGAACGCUGGCGGCGUGCUUAACACAUGCAAGUCGAACGGAAAGGCCCCUUCGGGGGUGCUCGAGUGGCGAACGGGUGAGUAACACGUGGGUGAUCUGCCCUGCACUUUGGGAUAAGCCUGGGAAACUGGGUCUAAUACCGGAUAGGACUACGGGAUGCAUGUUCUGUGGUGGAAAGCGUUUGCGGUGUGGGAUGGGCCCGCGGCCUAUCAGCUUGUUGGUGGGGUGAUGGCCUACCAAGGCGACGACGGGUAGCCGGCCUGAGAGGGUGUCCGGCCACACUGGGACUGAGAUACGGCCCAGACUCCUACGGGAGGCAGCAGUGGGGAAUAUUGCACAAUGGGCGCAAGCCUGAUGCAGCGACGCCGCGUGAGGGAUGACGGCCUUCGGGUUGUAAACCUCUUUCAGUCACGACGAAGCGCAAGUGACGGUAGUGACAGAAGAAGCACCGGCCAACUACGUGCCAGCAGCCGCGGUAAUACGUAGGGUGCGAGCGUUGUCCGGAAUUACUGGGCGUAAAGAGCUCGUAGGUGGUUUGUCGCGUUGUUCGUGAAAACUCACAGCUCAACUGUGGGCGUGCGGGCGAUACGGGCAGACUGGAGUACUGCAGGGGAGACUGGAAUUCCUGGUGUAGCGGUGGAAUGCGCAGAUAUCAGGAGGAACACCGGUGGCGAAGGCGGGUCUCUGGGCAGUAACUGACGCUGAGGAGCGAAAGCGUGGGGAGCGAACAGGAUUAGAUACCCCCGUAGUCC